rnacentral:rRNA from 1 species
CAGUGAAAUUGAACUCGCUGUGAAGAUGCAGUGUACCCGCGGCAAGACGGAAAGACCCCGUGAACCUUUACUAUAGCUUGACACUGAACAUUGAGCCUUGAUGUGUAGGAUAGGUGGGAGGCUUUGAAGUGUGGACGCCAGUCUGCAUGGAGCCGGCCUUGAAAUACCACCCUUUAAUGUUUGAUGUUCUAACGUGGACCCGUGAUCCGGGUUGCGGACAGUGUCUGGUGGGUAGUUUGACUGGGGCGGUCUCCUCCUAAAGAGUAACGGAGGAGCACGAAGGUUGGCUAAUCCUGGUCGGACAUCAGGAGGUUAGUGCAAUGGCAUAAGCCAGCUUGACUGCGAGCGUGACGGCGCGAGCAGGUGCGAAAGCAGGUCAUAGUGAUCCGGUGGUUCUGAAUGGAAGGGCCAUCGCUCAACGGAUAAAAGGUACUCCGGGGAUAACAGGCUGAUACCGCCCAAGAGUUCAUAUCGACGGCGGUGUUUGGCACCUCGAUGUCGGCUCAUCACAUCCUGGGGCUGAAGUAGGUCCCAAGGGUAUGGCUGUUCGCCAUUUAAAGUGGUACGCGAGCUGGGUUUAGAACGUCGUGAGACAGUUCGGUCCCUAUCUGCCGUGGGCGCUGGAGAACUGAGGGGGGCUGCUCCUAGUACGAGAGGACCGGAGUGGACGCAUCACUGGUGUUCGGGUUGUCAUGCCAAUGGCACUGCCCGGUAGCUAAAUGCGGAAGAGAUAAGUGCUGAAAGCAUCUAAGCACGAAACUUGCCCCGAGAUGAGUUCUCCCUGACCCUUUAAGGGUCCUGAAGGAACGUUGAAGACGACGACGUUGAUAGGCCGGGUGUGUAAGCGCAGCGAUGCGUUGAGCUAACCGGUACUAAUGAACCGUGAGG